rnacentral:rRNA from 1 species
UGGGGAAUAUUGCACAAUGGGCGCAAGCCUGAUGCAGCCAUGCCGCGUGUGUGAAGAAGGCCUUCGGGUUGUAAAGCACUUUCAGCGGGGAGGAAGGCGAUAAGGUUAAUAACCUUGUCGAUUGACGUAACCCGCAGAAGAAGCACCGGCUAACUCCGUGCCAGCAGCCGCGGUAAUACGGAGGGUGCAAGCGUUAAUCGGAAUUACUGGGCGUAAAGCGCACGCAGGCGGUCUGUCAAGUCGGAUGUGAAAUCCCCGGGCUUAACCUGGGAACUGCAUUCGAAACUGGCAGGCUAGAGUCUUGUAGAGGGGGGUAGAAUUCCAGGUGUAGCGGUGAAAUGCGUAGAGAUCUGGAGGAAUACCGGUGGCGAAGGCGGCCCCCUGGACAAAGACUGACGCUCAGGUGCGAAAGCGUGGGGAGCAAACAGG